rnacentral:rRNA from 1 species
AUUGAACGCUGGCGGCAGGCCUAACACCUGCAAGUCGAGCGAGCGGCGGACGGGUGAGUAAUGUAUGGGGAUCUGCCCGAUAGAGGGGGAUAACUACUGGAAACGGUGGCUAAUACCGCAUACUAUCGGAUGAACCCAUAUGGGAUUAGCUAGUAGGUGGGGUAAAGGCUCACCUAGGCGACGAUCUCUAGCUGGUCUGAGAGGAUGAUCAGCCACACUGGAACUGAGACAAGGCCCAGACUCCUACGGGAGGCAGCAGGGGGGAAUAUUGCACAAUGGGCGCAAGCCUGAUGCAGCCAUGCCGCGUGUGUGAAGAAGGCCUUCGGGUGGGAAAGCACUUUCAGCGAGGAGGCGUUACUCGCAGAAGAAGCACCGGAUAACUCCGUGCCAGCAGACGCGGUAAUUC